UAGUGACGUCAUGUCACCUGCUGCCGCGUGACGUCACGAGACACCAGGAAGCUGCUGUACUCUACGCGCGCGCUCACUGUGAGCCGAGAAUUGGUCUGAUGAAGCAACGGCACUCGGCGCAGCUCGGUACAAAAAAUAAACAAUGCGACCAGUGUGCAUACAGCACGGGUAGUACUGGAAGUUUGGCACAGCACAAGAGAACGCACACAGGAGAGAAACCCUUCAAGUGCAUUGUGUGUGAGAAGGCAUUUUCAGAGUCAUCACAU